CAGCCCUGUGCCUCGCUCGGUCUCAUGUUCCACCCUGAGAUCUUGAGCUGGAUGCUUUAUCGAUAACUACCAAUGGCUCGACUUGUCUUGUCGGCGGUAAGAUACUCGCAAGGGGCAAGAUCAAUCUUAGUCUUUCUUUGAGUGCGAUUACACCAAGCCAAAAGCAAUGGUGUAAUUGUAAUUAUAAGACUUUACAUCU
rnacentral:snoRNA from 1 species